GAUGAACGCUGGCGGCGUGCCUAAUACAUGCAAGUCGAGCGAACAGACGAGGAGCUUGCUCCUCUGACGUUAGCGGCGGACGGGUGAGUAACACGUGGAUAACCUACCUAUAAGACUGGGAUAACUUCGGGAAACCGGAGCUAAUACCGGAUAAUAUAUUGAACCGCAUGGUUCAAUAGUGAAAGACGGUUUUGCUGUCACUUAUAGAUGGAUCCGCGCCGCAGUAGCUAGUUGGUAAGGUAACGGCUUACCAAGGCGACGAUGCGUAGCCGACCUGAGAGGGUGAUCGGCCACACUGGAACUGAGACACGGUCCAGACUCCUACGGGAGGCAGCAGUAGGGAAUCUUCCGCAAUGGGCGAAAGCCUGACGGAGCAACGCCGCGUGAGUGAUGAAGGUCUUCGGAUCGUAAAACUCUGUUAUUAGGGAAGAACAAAUGUGUAAGUAACUAUGCACGUCCUGACGGUACCUAAUCAGAAAGCCACGGCUAACUACGUG
rnacentral:rRNA from 1 species